rnacentral:rRNA from 1 species
GACGAACGCUGGCGGCGUGCUUAACACAUGCAAGUCGAACGGAAAGGCCCUGCUUUUGUGGGGUGCUCGAGUGGCGAACGGGUGAGUAACACGUGAGUAACCUGCCCUUGACUUUGGGAUAACUUCAGGAAACUGGGGCUAAUACCGGAUAGGAGCUCCUGCUGCAUGGUGGGGGUUGGAAAGUUUCGGCGGUUGGGGAUGGACUCGCGGCUUAUCAGCUUGUUGGUGGGGUAGUGGCUUACCAAGGCUUUGACGGGUAGCCGGCCUGAGAGGGUGACCGGCCACAUUGGGACUGAGAUACGGCCCAGACUCCUACGGGAGGCAGCAGUGGGGAAUAUUGCACAAUGGGCGGGAGCCUGAUGCAGCAACGCCGCGGGCGGGAUGACGGGCUUCGGGUUGGAAACCGCUUUCGCCUGUGACGAAGCGUGAGUGACGGUAAUGGGUAAAGAAGCACCGGCUAACUACGUGC